rfam:Schistosoma mansoni, Puerto Rico, WGS project CABG01000000 data, contig: 0134
GCACUGCUGAGGAGUCCCACAAUAAGACGAAAUGAUCAUCCAAUGC